GACGAGGGAUCCUAGCGUUGUUCGGAAUCAUUGGGCGUAAAGCGGGUGUAGGCGGACUUCUAAGUCAGAUGUGAAAUCCCAGGGCUCAACCCUGGAAGUGCAUUUGAUACUGGAAGUCUUGAGUGUGGUAGAGGUUACUGGAAUUGUUGGUGUAGUGGUGAAAUACGUAGAUAUCAACAGGAAUACCGGAGGCGAAGGCGAGUAACUGGGCCAACACUGACGCUGAGACCCGAAAGCGUGGGGAUCAAACAGG
rnacentral:rRNA from 1 species